ACCCCAUGUGACGUUACCAAUCUGUUGCCUCGGCGGGAUUCUCUUGCCCCGGGCGCGUCGCAGCCCCGGAUCCCAUGGCGCCCGCCGGAGGACCAACUCCAAACUCUUUUUUUCUCUCCGUCGCGGCUCCCGUCGCGGCUCUGUUUUAUUUUUGCUCUGAGCCUUUCUCGGCGACCCUAGCGGGCGUCUCGAAAAUGAAUCAAAACUUUCAACAACGGAUCUCUUGGUUCUGGCAUCGAUGAAGAACGCAGCGAAAUGCGAUAAGUAAUGUGAAUUGCAGAAUUCAGUGAAUCAUCGAAUCUUUGAACGCACAUUGCGCCCGCCAGUAUUCUGGCGGGCAUGCCUGUCCGAGCGUCAUUUCAACCCUCGAACCCCUCCGGGGGGUCGGCGUUGGGGAUCGGCCCCUCACCGGGCCGCCCCCGAAAUACAGUGGCGGUCUCGCCGCAGCCUCUCCUGCGCAGUAGUUUGCACACUCGCACCGGGAGCGCGGCGCGGCCACAGCCGUAAAACACCCCAAACUUCUGAAAUGUUGACCUCGGAUCAGGUAGGAAUACCCGCUGAACUUAAGCAUAUCAAUAA
rnacentral:rRNA from 1 species